rnacentral:rRNA from 1 species
GACGAACGCUGGCGGCGUGCUUAACACAUGCAAGUCGAACGGAAAGACCCUGCUUUUGUUGGGUGCUCGAGUGGCGAGCGCGUGUGUAACACGCGAGUAUCCUGCCCUUGACAUUGGGGUAACUUCAGGAGACUGGGGCUCUUACCGGAGAGGAGCUCCUGAUCCAUGGUGUGGAUUGGAAAGUUACGGCGGUUGGGGAUGGACUCGCAGCUUAUCAGCUUGAUAGUGGGGUAGUGGCUUACCAAGGCUUUGACGGGUAGCCGGCCUGAGAGGGGGACCGGCGACAUUGGGACUGAGAGACGGCGCAGAAUCCUACGUUAGGCAGCAGUGGGGAGUAUUGCACAAUGGGCGGAAGCCUGAUGCAGCAACGCCGCGUGCGGGAUGACGUCCUUCGGGUUGUAAACCGCUGUCUCCGGUGCCGUAGCGUGAGUGACGGUAAUUGGUCAAGAAGCACCGGCUAACUACGUG